AUUGAAGAAGGUGGUGGAAAUUGUGAUGAUCACAAUAAAGCCCUAGUUGUGUAUAACAACAAUGCUCAUCAUCGCACUUAUGAAGCAUUGCAAAAUCCAAGUGAAACACAAGUUGUAGAUGAACAACAAGACCAAGAAGAUGGAUAUGAUAGUUACUAUGGUUAUGGUUAUGGAGAUGAUGAUGAUGAUGAUGACAAGUACCCUGAUUUGACUCACACACUUUUUGAUUCUGAAGGAUUGGAUUUUGCUGGGUCAGUGAUUGAUAAGGUGAAGAAUUGUAAGGAAGAAGCAGG
rnacentral:lncRNA from 1 species